UCCAUCGUUGUCUGAAAACGAAAAAAAAAAUCAACCUUAAAAAAAAACUAUUGUCGGUCGAUCGACGAUUCAGUAGUGAAAUCGAUACAGAAUCCCCAUAAUUCGUCUUUGCUUAUAGAUUGUGAUCGUCAAAUUGUUAGUUCUACAAAGAGAUCGUAUGUAAGGAUUGUGAAGAUCGCAGAGAAAUUUGGGCUGUAGAUAUGAAGGCCAUUUUCGAUCAUCUUCCAAGCCCUACUGACGCGGCCCAAGGACCCGCGUUUUUAUAACUCUUUAAAAAUUCAGGUGUGACCAAGGACCCGCGUGCUUUACCGUUUUAGCUUGGAUAGAGACCCGAGAAGUAUCCAAGAUCCGCGUGUGUAUUGAUUGUAAGUAUCCAAGGUUCAUUCUAAUCGGGUCAGCUAUAUUUUCGCAAAAGGAUCCGAGUGUAGGAUCCGAGAUCCGCGUCCUAAUAGAGGCAAUUUUACAAUUUUACCCCUCCACGGAAUUUUUAAAUUUGUCAAUAAAAAUAUAAAUUGUAAUGGCAUUCUCUUGUAAUUUUGUACAUAUUGUAAGGUUAUUUUUUAUAUAAUCCUUCCCAAUUAAUAGUAUA